rnacentral:rRNA from 1 species
UACGGAGGAUCCAAGCGUUAUCCGGAAUCAUUGGGUUUAAAGGGUCCGUAGGCGGUUUGGUAAGUCAGUGGUGAAAGCCCAUCGCUCAACGGUGGAACGGCCAUUGAUACUGCCAGACUUGAAUUAUUAGGAAGUAACUAGAAUAUGUAGUGUAGCGGUGAAAUGACUUAGAGAUUACAUGGAAUAACCAAUUGCCGUAAGG